AAGUAUAAAUAGCUUGUUCAAAAAACUAUAUUCUCAUUCCAGUGUCAGUAAAUGUUAAGUGUUUCAAAUCAGACCUUGUCAAAAUGAACAGAAAUUAUGGUGGCUGUGGCUGCUCCAGUCGCUUUGAAAGUGGACAAAGCUGCUCACCGACUUAUAUCGUGAGGGAAUCAUGCGGUUAUCAGCCGCUGACUCUAAGGGUUCCCACCGAAUGUGGAACCACAUACACGCGGAGUGGUCUCAUGCCAACUCUGACGUAUCGACCAAGCGUAGCACCCACAUACACCGUACCAAGUGUUGGUUACGCCUAUUUGAGACCAUCAAGUACACGAUCAGAGCGCAGGAGUUCUCAUCGGUCGGACAGUCCUCCAAGAAAUAGCAGUGGCGUUUACCAAGAAUCAAUGACGAAGUGCCCGGACUCGUACUAUGUACACGUUAGUAAAAGCUACGCAAAAGGCAAAAGGUCCUAGAUGAUUUGACUGAAAUAAUUGGAUGCUGGAUAUCUAUAUGUUACCAUGAGCUGGUGUAUUAAUGUUAAUUUUUUGUGUGGCUAGACGAUUUAAAAUAAUACUUGGACUGAAAUAUAUUAUUUUGAAUUGUUUAUUUAUUGUAUCGUAUUUAUGUAUUUUCUCUGCAAUUGUAAUCAUUUAUUGUAUCGUGUUUUAUAUUUCUUAACCAUUUUUUAAUAAUAAAUAUAUUUGACGACAUAAA